UACGGGGGGGGUAAGCGUUGUUCGGAAUUACUGGGCGUAAAGGGCUCGUAGGCGGCCAACUAAGUCAGACGUGAAAUCCCUCAGCUUAACUGGGGAACUGCGUCUGAUACUGGAUGGCUUGGAUUCGGGAGAGGAAUGCGGAAUUCCAGGUGUAGCGGUGAAAUGUGUAGAGAUCGGGAGGAACACCGGUGGCGAAGGCGGGUCUCUGGGCAUCUCCUGACGCUGAGGCGCGAAAGCGUGGGGAGCAAGCGGG
rnacentral:rRNA from 1 species